CCUACGGGUGGCAGCAGUGGGGAAUAUUGGACAAUGGGCGAAAGCCUGAUCCAGCCAUGCCGCGUGUGUGAAGAAGGCCUUCGGGUUGUAAAGCACUUUCAGUGGGGAAGAAAGCCUUGGGGCUAAUACCCUCGAGGAAGGACAUCACCCACAGAAGAAGCACCGGCUAACUCCGUGCCAGCAGCCGCGGUAAUACGGAGGGUGCGAGCGUUAAUCGGAAUUACUGGGCGUAAAGCGCGCGUAGGCGGUCUGAUAAGCCGGUUGUGAAAGCCCCGGGCUCAACCUGGGAACGGCAUCCGGAACUGUCAGGCUAGAGUGCAGGAGAGGAAGGUAGAAUUCCCGGUGUAGCGGUGAAAUGCGUAGAGAUCGGGAGGAAUACCAGUGGCGAAGGCGGCCUUCUGGACUGACACUGACGCCGAGGUGCGAAAGCGUGGGUAGCAAACAGGAUUAGAUACCCGGGUAGUC
rnacentral:rRNA from 1 species